rnacentral:rRNA from 1 species
UCCGGUUGAUCCUGCCGGACCCUACCGCUAUCGGGGUGGGACUAAGACAUGCGAGUCGAGCGUCUCUAGCUAUGUUGAGACGCGGCGGACGGCUCAGUAACACGUGGCUAACCUACCCUCAGGACAGGGACAAACCCGGGAAACUGGGGCUAAUACCCGAUAGGCGAGGAUGCCUGGAAUGGUUUCUCGCCCAAAGGACCUUGGGAACAUGCUUCCAUUGUCGCCUGAGGAUGGGGCCGCGUCCGAUCAGGUUGUUGGUGAGGUAAUGGCUCACCAAGCCUAUAACCGGUACGGGCCGUGAGAGCGGUAGCCCGGAGAUGGGUACUGAGACAAGGACCCAGGCCCUACGGGGCGCAGCAGUCGCGAAAACUCCGCAAUGCACGAAAGUGUGACGGGGCUACCCCGAGUGCUCUCCGCUGAGGAAAGCUUUUCCCUGGUGUAACUAGCCGGGGGAAUAAGGAGAGGGCAAGACUGGUGUCAGCCGCCGCGGUAAUACCAGCUCUCCGAGUGGUAGGGAUGUUUAUUGGGCUUAAAGCGAUAGGUCAACGGUACUUCCGGGGUAGGGGUGAAAUCCUAUAAUCCCGGGAGGACCACCAGUGGCGAAGGCUGUUGACUAGAACGCGCUCGACGGUGAGGGACGAAAGCUGGGGGAGCGAACCGGAUUAGAUACCCGGGUAGUCCCAGCUGUAAACGAUGCGAGCUAGGUGUUGGGAUGGCUACGUGCCAUUUCAGUGCCGCAGGGAAGCCAUUAAGCUCGCCGCCUGGGGAGUACGGCCGCAAGGCUGAAACUUAAAGGAAUUGGCGGGGGAGCACCACAAGACGUGAAGCUUGCGGUUCAAUUGGAGUCAACGCCGGGAACCUUACCGGGGGCGACAGCAGAAUGAAGGCCAGAUUGAAGGUCUUGCUAGACAAGCUGAGAGGAGGUGCAUGGCCGCCGCCAGUUCGUGCCGUGAGGUGUCCUGUUAAGUCAGGCAACGAUCGAGACCCGCGCCUCUAGUUGCUACUGAGGAAGUUUUCCAAGGGGCACUCUAGAGGGACUGCCGUCGACAAGACGGAGGAAGGAGCGGGCCACGGCAGGUCAGUAUGCCCCGAAUCCCCCGGGCUACACGCGAGCUGCAAUGGCAGAGACAAUGGGUUCCGACCCUGAAAAGGGAAGGCGAUCUCUAAACUCUGCCUCAGUUUGGAUCGAAGGCUGGAACCCGCCUUCGUGAAAAUGGAAUGCCUAGUAAUCGCGCGUCAUCAACGCGCGGUGAAUACGUCCCCGCUCCUUGCACACACCGCCCGUCGCUCCAUCCGAGUGGGGUUUGGGUGAGGCGUGGUCUUCUUGGCUGCGUCGAAUCUGAGUUCCGCAAGGAGGGAGAAGUCGUAACAAGGUG